UACGAAGGUGGCAAGCGUUGUUCGGAUUUACUGGGCGUACAGGGAGCGUAGGCGGUUGGAUAAGCCCUCCGUGAAAUCUCCAGGCUUAACCUGGAAAGUGCAGAGGGGACUGUUCAGCUAGAGGAUGGGAGAGGAGCGCGGAAUUCCCGGUGUAGCGGUGAAAUGUGUAGAGAUCGGGAGGAAGGCCGGUGGCGAAGGCGGCGCUCUGGAACAUUUCUGACGCUGAGGCUCGAAAGCGUGGGGAGCAAACAGGG
rnacentral:rRNA from 1 species